rnacentral:rRNA from 1 species
AUUGAACGCUGGCGGCAGGCCUAACACAUGCAAGUCGAACGGUAACAGGAAGCAGCUUGCUGCUUUGCUGACGAGUGGCGGACGGGUGAGUAAUGUCUGGGAAACUGCCUGAUGGAGGGGGAUAACUACUGGAAACGGUAGCUAAUACCGCAUAACGUCGCAAGACCAAAGAGGGGGACCUUCGGGCCUCUUGCCAUCGUAUGUGCCCAGAUGGGAUUAGCUUGUUGGUGGGGUAACGGCUCACCAAGGCGACGAUCCCUAGCUGGUCUGAGAGGAUGACCAGCCACACUGGAACUGAGACACGGUCCAGACUACUAAGGGAGGCAGCAGUGGGGAAUAUUGCACAAUGGGCGCAAGCCUGAUGCAGCCAUGCCGCGUGUAUGAAGAAGGCCUUCGGGUUGUAAAGUACUUUCAGCGGGGAGGAAGGGAGUAAAGUUAAUACCUUUACUCAUUGACGUUACCCGCAGAAGAAGCACCGGCUAACUCCGUG